GAUGAACGCUAGCGGCAGGCCUAACACAUGCAAGUCGAACGGUAACAUAGAAAAGCUUGCUUUUCUGAUGACGAGUGGCGCACGGGUGCGUAACGCGUAUGCAAUCUACCUUUUACAGGGGGAUAGCCCAGAGAAAUUUGGAUUAAUAUCCCAUAGUAUCAAGAGUCGGCAUCGGCAUUUGAUUAAAGAUUUAUCGGUAAAAGAUGAGCAUGCGUCCUAUUAGCUAGAUGGUGUGGUAACGGCAUACCAUGGCAACGAUAGGUAGGGGCCCUGAGAGGGGGAUCCCCCACACUGGUACUGAGACACGGACCAGACUCCUACGGGAGGCAGCAGUGAGGAAUAUUGGACAAUGGGCGCAAGCCUGAUCCAGCCAUGCCGCGUGCAGGAAGACUGCCCUAUGGGUUGUAAACUGCUUUUAUACGGGAAGAAACACUCCCUCGUGAGGGAGCUUGACGGUACCGUAAGAAUAAGGAUCGGCUAACUCCGUGCCAGCCGCCGCCGUAACAC
rnacentral:rRNA from 1 species